UCCGAAGGGGGCUAGCGUUGCUCGGAAUCACUGGGCGUAAAGGGUGCGUAGGCGGGUCUUUAAGUCAGGGGUGAAAUCCUGGAGCUCAACUCCAGAACUGCCUUUGAUACUGAAGAUCUUGAGUUCGGGAGAGGUGAGUGGAACUGCGAGUGUAGAGGUGAAAUUCGUAGAUAUUCGGAAGAACACCAGUGGCGAAGGCGACUUACUGGACACAUAUUGACGCUGAGGUGCGAAAGCGUGGGGAGCAAACAGG
rnacentral:rRNA from 1 species